AUUGAACGCUGGCGGCAUGCCUUACACAUGCAAGUCGAACGGUAGAGUAGCAAUACUUGAGAGUGGCGAACGGGUGAGUAAUGCAUCGGAACAUGCCCAGUCGUGGGGGAUAACGUAGCGAAAGUUACGCUAAUACCGCAUACGAUCUAUGGAUGAAAGCGGGGGACUCGCAAGAGCCUCGCGCGAUUGGAGUGGCCGAUGUCAGAUUAGGUAGUUGGUGGGGUAAAAGACCACCAAGCCAACGAUCUGUAGCUGGUCUGAGAGGACGACCAGCCACACUGGGACUGAGACACGGCUCAGACUCCUACGGGAGGCAGCAGUGGGGAAUUUUGGACAAUGGACGAAAGUCUGAUCCAGCAAUGCCGCGUGCAGGACGAAGGCCUUCGGGUUGUAAACUGCUUUUGUACGGAGCGAAAAGCUUUGGAUUAAUACUCCGAGGUCAUGACGGUACCGUAAGAAUAAGCACCGGCUAACUACGUGCCAGCCGCCGCCGUAA
rnacentral:rRNA from 1 species